rnacentral:rRNA from 1 species
GAUGAACGCUGGCGGCGUGCUUAACACAUGCAAGUCGAACGAAGCACUUUAUUACGAUUUCUUCGGAAUGACGAUUUGGUGACUGAGUGGCGGACGGGUGAGUAACGCGUGGGUAACCUGCCUUAUACAGGGGGAUAACAGUUGGAAACGGCUGCUAAUACCGCAUAAGCGCACAGGGUCGCAUGACCUGGUGUGAAAAACUCCGGUGGUAUGAGAUGGACCCGCGUUGGAUUAGCUGGUUGGUGAGGUAACGGCCCACCAAGGCGACGAUGCGUAGCCGACCUGAGAGGGUGAUCGGCCACAUUGGGACUGAGACAC